AGAGUUUGAUCCUGGCUCAGGAUGAACGCUGGCGGCGUGCUUAACACAUGCAAGUCGAACGAACCUUCGGGUUAGUGGCGGACGGGUGAGUAACGCGUGAGAAUCUGCCCUCAGGAGGGGGAUAACGGCUGGAAACGGCCGCUAAUACCCCAUAUGCCGCGAGGUGAAAUGAAUUUCGCCUGAGGAUGAGCUCGCGUCUGAUUAGCUAGUUGGUGGGGUAAGAGCCUACCAAGGCAUCGAUCAGUAGCUGGUCUGAGAGGAUGAUCAGCCACACUGGGACUGAGACACGGCCCAGACUCCUACGGGAGGCAGCAGUGGGGAAUUUUCCGCAAUGGGCGCAAGCCUGACGGAGCAACGCCGCGUGAGGGAUGAAGGCCUCUGGGCUGUAAACCUCUUUUAUCAAGGAAGAAGAUCUGACGGUACUUGAUGAAUAAGCCACGGCUAAUUCCGUGCCAGCAGCCGCGGUAAUACGGGAGUGGCAAGCGUUAUCCGGAAUUAUUGGGCGUAAAGCGUCCGCAGGCGGUCUUGUAAGUCUGUCGUUAAAGCGUGGAGCUUAACUCCAUUUGAGCGAUGGAAACUGUAAGACUAGAGUGUGGUAGGGGCAGAGGGAAUUCCCGGUGUAGCGGUGAAAUGCGUAGAUAUCGGGAAGAACACCAGUGGCGAAGGCGCUCUGCUGGGCCAUAACUGACGCUCAUGGACGAAAGCCAGGGGAGCGAAAGGGAUUAGAUACCCCUGUAGUCCUGGCCGUAAACGAUGAACACUAGGUGUCGGGGGAAUCGACCCCCUCGGUGUCGUAGCCAACGCGUUAAGUGUUCCGCCUGGGGAGUACGCACGCAAGUGUGAAACUCAAAGGAAUUGACGGGGGCCCGCACAAGCGGUGGAGUAUGUGGUUUAAUUCGAUGCAACGCGAAGAACCUUACCAGGGUUUGACAUCCUGCGAAUCUCUUGGAAACGAGAGAGUGCCUUCGGGAACGCAGUGACAGGUGGUGCAUGGCUGUCGUCAGCUCGUGUCGUGAGAUGUUGGGUUAAGUCCCGCAACGAGCGCAACCCACGUCGUUAGUUGCCAGCAUUGAGUUGGGCACUCUAGCGAGACCGCCGGUGAUAAACCGGAGGAAGGUGUGGAUGACGUCAAGUCAUCAUGCCCCUUACAUCCUGGGCUACACACGUACUACAAUGCUACGGACAAAGGGCAGCAAACUCGCGAGAGCUAGCAAAUCCCAUAAACCGUGGCUCAGUUCAGAUCGUAGGCUGCAACUCGCCUACGUGAAGGAGGAAUCGCUAGUAAUCGCAGGUCAGCAUACUGCGGUGAAUACGUUCCCGGGCCUUGUACACACCGCCCGUCACACCAUGGAAGUUGGCCACGCCCGAAGCCGUUACUCCAACCCUUGUGGAGGAGGAUGUCGAAGGUGGGGCUGAUGACUGGGGUGAAGUCGUAACAAGGUAACC
rnacentral:rRNA from 1 species